AUACGAAGGGUGCAAGCGUUAAUCGGAAUUACUGGGCGUAAAGCGUGCGCAGGCGGUUUUGUUAGCCCGAGGUGAAAUUCCCGGGCUCCACCUGGGAACGGCCUUUGUGACUGCAAGGCUAGAGCACGGCAGCGGGGGAUGGAAUUCCGCGUUGAGCAGGGAAACGCGUAGAUAUGCGGAGGAACACCGAUGGCGAAGGCAAUCCCCUGGGCCUGUCCUGACGCUCAUGCACGAAAGCGUGGGGAGCAAACAGGAUUAGAUACCCUGGUAGUCCACGCCCUAAACGAUGUCAACUGGUUGUUGGGUCUUCAUUGACUCAGUAACGAAGCUAACGCGUGAAGGUGACCGCCUGGGGAGUACGGGCGCAAGGUUGAAACUCAAAUGAAUUGACGGGG
rnacentral:rRNA from 1 species